rnacentral:rRNA from 1 species
AUGGAGCGCUCAGAGCGAGAGAAGCAAGAGGCGCAGGCGGCGGAGGUGCGGCAAGAGCUCGAUGCUCUUGUGAAAAAACAUGAGAGGUUAGAGCUUGACUCGAAGACUCGAGAGUUCGAGCUUGCCUCGGCACUUGAAAGCGCCAAAUCUGCCAAGGCCGAAGCCCAAAAAGCCCUCCAGGAGAUUGAGGCGAUGAAAAAGAUUGCGACAGGAGCAUUCGCAGAUCUGCCCCACAGUGUAUCCGAUGCCGCCGCAUUCUACCGGGGCGAGGAAGGAAGCUCGACGGAGAAAGUGUUCUGGUCCCAGUAUGCUGAGGCCGGACACUCGGUGCCCUUGAGCGACCAGCUGAAGCAGCUGGUCGAGCUCCAUAAGGCAGCCGAACAGGCCAGGAAGGGCCUGAUAGGCCAGCUGUGGCCUGGUGAGGUCUUGCCUUUGAGCUACUUUGAGCUGGUGCGGCGGCUGGUGGAUGCCUGUCCACGGCUUGAAGUUAUCAAGCAUUCCGUGUGUGUCGAGGGCGCCCGUAGGGCUUUUGCCCGUGCUAAAGUGCACUGGGGCAAGCUGGAUGCUCAGAAGCUGGUGAAGGAUGGGCCACCGGAGGGGAAGGAGCAUCGCAGGCCCGAGAUGUAUUAUGAGGGCGUCCUGAAGGGUGCCCGUCUUGUAGCGAAUGAAUGUACCGGGGAUGUAAUAUUUGAGUAA